rnacentral:rRNA from 1 species
GGUCCCGCCUGCCCUGUGACUCUAGUUUAACGGCCGCGGUAUUUUGACCGUGCGAAGGUAGCGCAAUCACUUGUCUUUUAAAUGAGGACCUGUAUGAAUGGCAUCACGAGGGCUUAGCUGUCUCCUUUUCCAAGUCAAUGAAAUUGAUCUACCCGUGCAGAAGCGGGUAUACCCCUACAAGACGAGAAGACCCUGUGGAGCUUAAGAUAUAAGGUCAACCACGUCAAACAACCAAACUCAAAGGUAUAAACAAAGUGUGAACAUGACCAACAUGUCUUCGGUUGGGGCGACCGCGGGGGAGAAACAAGCCCCCACGUGGACCGGGAUUAUUCCUAAAGCCAAGAGGUACACCUCUAAGCCUCAGAACAUCUGACCAUAAAUGAUCCGGCAAAAGCCGAUCAACGAACCAAGUUACCCCAGGGAUAACAGCGCAAUCCUCUCCCAGAGUCCAUAUCGACGAGGGGGUUUACGACCUCGAUGUUGGAUCAGGACAUCCUAAUGGUGCAGCCGCUAUUAAGGGUUCGUUUGUUCAACGAUUAAAGUCCUACGUGA